UAGGGAAUCUUCGGCAAUGGACGGAAGUCUGACCGAGCAACGCCGCGUGAGUGAAGAAGGUUUUCGGAUCGUAAAGCUCUGUUGUAAGAGAAGAACGAGUGUGAGAGUGGAAAGUUCACACUGUGACGGUAUCUUACCAGAAAGGGACGGCUAACUACGUGCCAGCAGCCGCGGUAAUACGUAGGUCCCGAGCGUUGUCCGGAUUUAUUGGGCGUAAAACGAGCGCAGGCGGUUAGAUAAGUCUGAAGUUAAAGGCUGUGGCUUAACCAUAGUACGCUUUGGAAACUGUUUAACUUGAGUGCAAGAGGGGAGAGUGGAAUUCCAUGUGUAGCGGUGAAAUGCGUAGAUAUAUGGAGGAACACCGGUGGCGAAAGCGGCUCUCUGGCUUGUAACUGACGCUGAGGCUCGAAAGCGUGGGGAGCAAACAGGAUUAGAUACCCUGGUAGUCCACGCCGUAAACGAUGAGUGCUAGGUGUUAGACCCUUUCCGGGGUUUAGUGCCGCAGCUAACGCAUUAAGCACUCCGCCUGGGGAGUACGACCGCAAGGUUG
rnacentral:rRNA from 1 species